rnacentral:rRNA from 1 species
CCUGAGAAACCCAAAAGAUCGAAUGGGGAGAUUCAUCGUCAGCGAUCCCGGUGCUUGUGCGGUUCGUGAUGCCGCGGUGACCUCGCGGUCCCGCGGCACGCGUCCGCAUGGUUUCAUUGCCGGGUGUCGUCGGCGUGCACUUCUCCCCUAGUAGGACGUCGCGACCCGUUGGGUGUCGGUCUACGGCCCGGGUGGUAGCCUGUCGUGCGUCACGCGUUCUCCUCGCGGGGGGCGCGUCGUGCUUCAGACCCCCGGUUGUCCGACCGGCUGCUCGGCGGUACUCGCACGGUAUCGAGCCGCAAACAUUUGAACUGCGUCCGGCCCGCCGCAAGCGAGGUCAGUGUGAUUCCCGGAUGUACGGACCUCGCGCCGUCACCGGGCCUGGCCAGCUGUUGGCAGGCGGUGUCCUGGGACUGGCUCCUCGAAAAUUAUGAUACCGGUCAGCGACGCUACUGCUUUGGGUACUUUCAGGACCCGUCUUGAAACACGGACCAAGGAGUCUAACAUGUGCGCGAGUCAUUGGGACAUGUUAAGCCUAAAGGCGCAAUGAAAGUGAAGGUCGGCCUCGCGCCGACCGAGGGAGGAUGGGCCGCGUCACGAUGCGGUCCCGCACUCCCGGGGCGUCUCGUUCUCAUUACGAGAAGA